GCUGAUGUAAGCCUAACCGGUAAGGCAGCGGUUUGCUAAACCGUGAGUAGCCGCUCAGGCGGUGUCCGGGUUCGACUCCCGGCAUCGGCGCCA
rnacentral:tRNA from 1 species